rnacentral:rRNA from 1 species
AUACGUAGGGGGCAAGCGUUAUCCGGAUUUACUGGGUGUAAAGGGAGCGUAGACGGUUAGGUAAGUCUGAUGUGAAAGCCCGCGGCUCAACCGCGGGACUGCAUUGGAAACUAUUUAACUAGAGUGCAGGAGAGGUAAGUGGAAUUCCUAGUGUAGCGGUGAAAUGCGUAGAUAUUAGGAGGAACACCAGUGGCGAAGGCGACUUACUGGACGAUAACUGACGCUGAGGCUCGAAAGCGUGGGGAGC